GAUGUCUAGUGACGAUUUCUUCUUUCCCACGGUACCCUCGCUUCUUUACCUGGCGGCGGACGGAAUACCCAAUUAGAAGAGAGGAAGAAGAAGGGGAGAAGAAGGACUAUGUGAGGAGGCAAAGGAGAAGAGACGGAAGAACAGAGAAGGGGAAGGGAAUGGUGUUCAACGCAGGGUGGGUGGCGGCGGUGGCGAGGGUGUCGGCCGAGGCGUGCCAGUACGUGGCUUGCAACCCGGAACGGCUGAGCAGUGAGGAAGUGCUCGACCUCCUCUUCUGCCUCCCCCUCCGCCAUCUCCGCGGCUUCGCCCUCUGCCUCUUCUCCUUCCUCUGCUUCCCACCCUUCCUGUCCGACGACCUCCGCCGCAACCGUCUCUAUUACCUCGGAUCCUCCUCCUCUUCGUCGUCCUCCUCAGACGAAUAUGACUCCACCGGCGGCGGCUACGACUCGCAUUCCGACUGAUGGAUAGAACCCGGCGGAUCUCUGUUCACUAUGCACAGUUAAAUUUGGCACUAAAACUGUUCCAUUAUCAGGAUCGUUAAAUUUGAGUUACAAACAUUUCAGGUCUUAUAGCUUCUUACAUAAUUGUCAGUGUUUCUUGAUCUAUUAUCAU